AAUGACGGUACCUGACUAAGAAGCACCGGCUAAAUACGUGCCAGCAGCCGCGGUAAUACGUAUGGUGCAAGCGUUAUCCGGAUUUACUGGGUGUAAAGGGAGCGCAGGCGGUGCGGCAAGUCUGAUGUGAAAGCCCGGGGCUCAACCCCGGUACUGCAUUGGAAACUGUCGUACUAGAGUGUCGGAGGGGUAAGCGGAAUUCCUAGUGUAGCGGUGAAAUGCGUAGAUAUUAGGAGGAACACCAGUGGCGAAGGCGGCUUACUGGACGAUAACUGACGCUGAGGCUCGAAAGCGUGGGGAGCAAACAGGAUUAGAUACCCUGGUAGUCCACGCCGUAAACGAUGAGUGCUAGGUGUCGGGGAGGAAUCCUCGGUGCCGCAGCUAACGCAAUAAGCACUCCACCUGGGGAGUACGACCGCAAGGUUGAAACUCAAAGGAAUUGACGGGGGCCCGCACAAGCGGUGGAGCAUGUGGUUUAAUUCGAAGCAACGCGAAGAACCUUACCAAGUCUUGACAUCCCGAUGACAGAACAUGUAAUGUGUUUUCUCUUCGGAGCAUCGGUGACAGGUGGUGCAUGGUUGUCGUCAGCUCGUGUCGUGAGAUGUUGGGUUAAGUCCCGCAACGAGCGCAACCCUUAUCUUCAGUAGCCAUCAUUCAGUUGGGCACUCUGGAGAGACUGCCGUGGAUAACACGGAGGAAGGUGGGGAUGACGUCAAAUCAUCAUGCCCCUUAUGUCUUGGGCUACACACGUGCUACAAUGGCUGGCAACAAAGUGACGCAAGACGGCGACGUUAAGCAAAUCACAAAAACCCAGUCCCAGUUCGGAUUGUAGUCUGCAACUCGACUACAUGAAGCUGGAAUCGCUAGUAAUCGCGAAUCAGAAUGUCGCGGUGAAUACGUUCCCGGGUCUUGUACACACCGCCCGUCACACCAUGGGAGUCAGUAACGCCCGAAGUCAGUGACCUAACCGCAAGGGAGGAGCUGCCGAAGGCGGGACCGAUGACUGGGGUGAAGUCGUAACAAGGUAGCCGUAUCGGAAGGUGCGGCUG
rnacentral:rRNA from 1 species